UACCCAUCCCAUGCGGGAAGGAUGAGAAGCUUCGACUAAGGUUCGAUUCGAGCGGAGCGAGAAAACGUUGCCGCAGGCAACGACCCGAAGGGCGAGGCGCAACGCGCCGAGUAAUCCUUCCCCCACCACCA
rnacentral:sRNA from 1 species